rfam:Canis lupus familiaris chromosome 34, whole genome shotgun sequence.
CGGGGGAGGCCGGAUCCUGGGCUGUGUCCCGGCGCCCUGUGCUCCGGAGCCUGCGCUGUUGGAUUCGCGCUACCGCCCCUCAGCCCCCU